AUUGAACGCUGGCGGCAGGCCUAACACAUGCAAGUCGAGCGGGGUUUUCGGACCUAGCGGCGGACGGGUGAGUAAUGCGUAGGAAGCUGCCCGAUAGAGGGGGAUACCAGUUGGAAACGACUGUUAAUACCGCAUAAUGUCUACGGACCAAAGUGUGGGACCUUCGGGCCACAUGCUAUCGGAUGCGCCUACGUGGGAUUAGCUAGUUGGUGAGGUAAUGGCUUACCAAGGCGACGAUCUCUAGCUGGUAUGAGAGGAGGAUCAGACACACUGGAAGUGAGACACGGUCCAGACUCCUACGGGAGGCAGCAGUGGGGAAUAUUGGAGAAUGGGCGCGAGCGUAAUAGAGGCAUGCCGCGUGUGUGAAGAAGGCCUUCGGGUUGUAAGGCACUUUCAGCGAUGAGGAAGGGUGGUGUGUUAAUAGCACAUCAUUUUGACGUUACUCGCAGAAGAAGCACCGGCUAACUCUGUGCCAGCCGCCGCGGUAAGAC
rnacentral:rRNA from 1 species